rnacentral:rRNA from 1 species
AAUGAACGUUGGCGGCGUGGAUUAGGCAUGCAAGUCGAGCGAGAAGUGUAGCAAUACACGGAAAGCGGCGAAAGGGAUAGUAACACGUAGGUACCUACCCCCGGGCCUGGGAUAGCGGCGGGAAACUGCCAUUAAUACCAGAUAACGUCUCCGGACCAAAGGUGUGAUUCCGUCUGGGGAGGGGCCUGCGUCCUAUCAGCUAGUUGGUGAGGUAAUGGCCCACCAAGGCAUUGACGGGUAGCGGGUGUGAGAGCACGACCCGCAUCACUGGGACUGAGACACUGCCCAGACACCUACGGGUGGCUGCAGUCGAGAAUCUUCCGCAAUGGGCGCAAGCCUGACGGAGCGACGCCGCGUGCGGGAUGAAGGCCUUCGGGUUGUAAACCGCUGUCAGUGGGGAGGAAAUGCAUGGGGGUUCUCCCCCAUGUUUGACCGAUCCGCAGAGGAAGCACAGGCUAAGUUCGUGCCAGCAGCCGCAGUAAAAC